CGCUGGCGGCAGGCUUAACACAUGCAAGUCGAGCGGUAACAGGUCGCUGAGAUUCCUUCGGGAUGAUCUUGAUGCUGACGAGCGGCGGACGGGUGAGUAACGCGUAGGAAUCUGCCCAGUAGAGGGGGAUAGCCCGGGGAAACCCGGAUUAAUACCGCAUACGCCCUACGGGGGAAAGGCCGGGAUCUUCGGACCGGUCACUAUUGGAUGAGCCUGCGUGAGAUUAGCUAGUUGGUGGGGUAAAGGCCUACCAAGCCGAAGACGGGUAGCGGGUGUGAGAGCAUGGCCCGCCGCAUCGGAACUGAGACACUGUCCGGACUCCUACGGGAGGCUGCAGUAACGAAUCUUCCGCAAUGCGCGAAAGCGUGACGGAGCAAUGCCGCGUGUGGGAUGAAGCGGUUACGCCGUGUAAACCACUGUCAGGACUUAGGAAGAACUGACCGAGUCCAAAGGAAGGGCCGGCUAAUCUCGUGCCAGCAGCCGCGGUAAUACGAGAGGCCCGAGCGUUAGGCGGAAUCACUGGGCUUAAAGGGUGCGUAGGCGGAUCAGUAAG
rnacentral:rRNA from 18 species